CAUGUGCGGCCUGCUGCGGCGAAAUGAAAUGAAUGUGCGUAUCGAUGCCGGCGGCGGUAAGGAUCAGGUGUUCGCCCGAGAUGGCGUCGGUGCUGACGCCCACCACCAUGCCGGGCGUGACGCCGUUCAUCAUCGCCGGGUUGCCGCUUUUGCCAAUGCCGGCGAUCAGGCCGUUUUUAAUGCCGACGUCCGCCUUGAUCACCCCUUGCCGGGCGUCCAGAAUGGUCACAUUGGUAAUGACCAGAUCCAACACAUUGUCGCUGGUUAAUCGGUUAUCGGCGCCCAUGCCGUCGCGCAG
rfam:Lasius niger Lnig_2.1_17679, whole genome shotgun sequence.